rnacentral:rRNA from 1 species
UAGGGAAUAUUGGGCAAUGGGCGAAAGCCUGACCCAGCCAUGCCGCGUGAGCGAUGACGGUCCUAGAGAUUGUAAAGCUCUUUUCUGAGGAAAGAACAUCCGGGGUAGGAAAUGACCCCGGCUUGACGGUACCUCAGGAAUAAGGAACGGCUAACUCCGUGCCAGCAGCCGCGGUAAUACGGAGGUUCCAAGCGUUGUUCGGAAUUACUGGGCGUAAAGGGAGCGCAGGCGGGCAAGUCAGUCUGAAGUGAAAUCCCGGGGCUCAACCUCGGACUUGCUUCGGAUACUGCUUGUCUUGAGUUCGUGAUAGGAAGACGGAAUUCAGGGUGUAGCGGUGAAAUGCACAGAUAUCCUGAGGAACACCGGUGGCGAAAGCGGUCUUCUGGCGCGAAACUGACGCUGAGGCUCGAAAGCGUGGGUAGCAAACGG